UACGUAGGGUGCGAGCGUUGUCCGGAAUUAUUGGGCGUAAAGGGCUCGUAGGCGGCCAACUAAGUCAGACGUGAAAUCCCUCGGCUUAACCGGGGAACUGCGUCUGAUACUGGAUGGCUUGAGUUUGGGAGAGGGAUGCGGAAUUCCAGGUGUAGCGGUGAAAUGCGUAGAUAUCUGGAGGAACACCGGUGGCGAAGGCGGCAUCCUGGGCCAACACUGACGCUGAGGAGCGAAAGCCAGGGGAGCAAACGGG
rnacentral:rRNA from 1 species